CGUCGGCGACGCGGCCGCCCCGGGAGAAGGCGGCGGUGGCGGCGUGGACGGCCCGCAGCGGGACGGCCGCGGCGAGGCGGAGCAGCCGGGCGGCAGCGGCGGACAGGGGCCCCCGCCGGCGCCUCAGCUCACAGAGACGCUGGGCUUCUACGAGAGCGACCGGCGGCGGGAGAGGCGCCGGGGCCGCACAGGGACAGGCGUUUGCUUCAGCCUGCCCAGGUGUGUGACAUUUUGAAGGGUGUCAUUUUGGUAAUCUGCUAUUUUAUGAUGCACUAUGUUGACUACUCCAUGAUGUACCACCUGAUAAGGGGGCAGUCCGUCAUCAAGCUCUACAUCAUCUACAACAUGCUGGAGGUAAGGGCCUUGCUUACCACGCACAGGCCUGGCCAGGGCACUCAGCUUCAAGUCUUCCCGUUCUGAAGGUACCUGAGAGUCAAGAGUGUUCUACCAACUCUAGUUAUGGUGCUUCUGGCCUUUCCUGUGCUAUCAUCACUUGGGGGCUCUUCUUAAACAUGGAUUCUGAUUUAGGAGAUCUAGGCUGGGUCUGGAGAAUCUGCAUUUCUAAGGUGGUGGGGCUCAUGCUGCUGGUCUGGGACACACCUCUGGUGGCAAGCCUGCAGGCAUGGCAUGUCCUCAUGUAGACUGGGAAUAUUCUUGCUGCCCAGACAUUUUAGAACCAGUACCCCCUUGAGUAUCCAGAUUGUCAAGUGCUAGGGAAAUUAGUUUCACAACUUCAUUAGAAACCCAUGCUAGAACUUUAAAUUAUGAAGUAAAUGUUAUGAUUAUGUAUAUGUUUGCUAUAAGAAAUACACAUUUUAAAUUGCACAUUUAAAUUCAGAUCUUUACAUAGGGCAAAUAAAUAUAAGCUCCCAAUUUUUGUAAGUAAUGUUUUUAGUACAAUAUGUCUCACUUCAAAGCGUUCAGCAUAUGAAAAUCUGCAUUUAUAUGAAAAAUAAGUUGAGCUGAUAUACAUUCACUUUACAAAAAAAUGCUUCGCUUUAUAAGCCAGAUAUUCACAAGUUUUUUAAAUAGUAAGCUACCCUAAGUUAUAUAAUAAACUUUGAAAUUCAAAUUGCAGGCCGGCAUGGUGGCUCACACCUGUAAUCCCAGCACUUGGGGAGGCUGAGGCGGGCAGAUCACCUGAGGUCAGCAGUCCAAGACCAGACUGGCCAACAUGGUGAAACCCCGUCUCUACUAAAAAUACAAAAAUUAGCCGUGCCUGGUGGCACGUGCCUGUAAUCCCAGCUACUCGGGAGGCUGAGGCAGGAGAAUCGCAUGAACCCUGGAGGUGGAGGUUGUAGUGAGCUGAAAUCGUCCCACUGCACCCCAGCCUGGGUAACAGAGCGAGACUCCAUCUCGAAAAAAAAAAAAAAAAGAAAGAA
rnacentral:sRNA from 1 species